UGUUUUGUAGCUUAGUUGAUUAAAGCGCCGGUCUAGCGUACACGGAGUCGUGAGUUCGAGUCUCAUUGAAACGC
rnacentral:tRNA from 1 species